GACGAACGCUGGCGGCGUGCUUAACACUUGCAAGUCGAACGGUGAAAGCGGAGCUUGCUCCGCUGGAUCAGUGGCGAACGGGUGAGUAACACGUGGGCAACCUGCCCCUGACUUCGGGAUAACUCCUCGACAGAGGUGCUAACACCGGAUACGAAUCCUACAGGCCUCUGCGGUAUUGGACAGUUUUUCGGUUAGGGAUGGGCCCGCGGCCUAUCAGGUUGUUGGUGAGGUAGUGGCUCACCAAGGCGACGACGGGUAGCCGGCCUCGAGAGGGCGACCGGCCACACUGGGACUGAGACACGGCCCAGACUCCUACGGGAGGCAGCAGUGGGGAAUAUUGCGCAAUGGGCGAAAGCCUGACGCAGCAACGCCGCGUGAGGGAUGACGGCCUUCGGGUUGUAAACCUCUUUCAGCAGGGAAGAAGCGAAAGUGACGGUACCUGCAGAAGAAGCACCGGCUAACUACGUGCCAGCAGCCGCCGUAA
rnacentral:rRNA from 1 species